rnacentral:ncRNA from 2 species
AAGGGUGGAUUUUUUAUCGGUGCUUGAAAAAGCUUAAAAGGGAACUCCGUAAGAAUCGGAGGCUCUCCCGGAGCUGUAAAAGGGUACGAACAUUGCAUAUCUUUAUUACAAGAUAAAAGCCACUGUUGUGAUAAUAUUAUCGCAGCGGGAAGGCGCAAUAAGUAGGAUAAUCCUUGAGCCAGAAGACCUGCCGGUAUAAUUAGUUUAUG